GCUGAAAUCUCCUGGUACUUCUUUCCAUCCAAGCAUGAUUUAUGCGAGCAUUGAACGACUCUUCUCAAAUCUGUUUUCCAACUCUUUCUUGGUUCACCUUGCUUCUUUCCAGCCAAGCAUGAUUUAUGCGAGCAUUGAACGACUAUUCUCAAAUCUGUUUUCCAACUCUUUCCUGCUUCACCUUGCUGGAACGCCACUAUAUCUUAGCCUCCCAUGUUGAAACUGCCCAACCAUUCCAAUAGUCUUUCAGAUACUCCUGGCAUAUCCACAGCUAAAAAAGAGAUGAAGUGGAAGAGCCAACCUCUCCUGUGUUGCACAGAGCUGGGUUUUUAGGCACUUGUAUGCCCCAUUUCUCAAGUGUUUCUUCAGUAGCGAAUCUUCCCUCCAAUGCUAAAACAUAUGAUGAAACGGGGUUUUGGUACCUACCUCAUGGAUCCUAGUCAAGCUCUUCCAAUUCACCUAUUAGAACUGAAUGAAACAGAUAUGCUACGUUGGUACUAAGCUUCCCUGUUCUGGCUGGUUUGAAAAAAAAAUAUAUUUAGUUGUGUUCACAUAUAUUUAGUUGUGUUUUAGACUGUUGGUGUGUUACGUAGAACUUUAAGUUGUUUGCAUUGUGCUUUUGUUCCCAAUAUUUCU
rnacentral:lncRNA from 1 species